rnacentral:rRNA from 1 species
AUUGAACGCUGGCGGCAUGCUUUACACAUGCAAGUCGAGCGGUAACAGGCCGCAAGGUGCUGACGAGUGGCGCACGGGUGAGUAAUGCAUCGGAACGUGCCCAGUCGUGGGGGAUAACUACUCGAAAGAGUAGCUAAUACCGCAUACGAUCUAUGGAUGAAAGCGGGGGACCGUAAGGCCUCGCGCGAUUGGAGCGGCCGAUGUCAGAUUAGGUAGUUGGUGGGGUAAAGGCUCACCAAGCCAACGAUCUGUAGCUGGUCUGAGAGGACGACCAGCCACACUGGGACUGAGACACGGCCCAGACUCCUACGGGAGGCAGCAGUGGGGAAUUUUGGACAAUGGGCGCAAGCCUGAUCCAGCAAUGCCGCGUGCAGGAAGAAGGCCUUCGGGUUGUAAACUGCUUUUGUACGGAACGAAACGGCUCUGGUUAAUACCCGGGGCUAAUGACGGUACCGUAAGAAUAAGCACCGGCUAACUACGUG